rnacentral:misc_RNA from 1 species
AACGCACAUUGCGCCUCUUGGUAUUCCGAGGGGCAUGUCUGUUUGAGCGUCAGUACACACCUCUCGUCGCACUUUUCUGCGCGGCGGGGCUUUGGGACGGGCCCGCCUCCGGGCGGGUCCUCCCUAAUGUGGCACGCUUGCGGACCUCUAGUCAGCAGUCAACGUAGUAAACUUAAACGCUCGUGGACCGAAAGACUCCGGAGGGCCUCGCCUGAAUCAAACUUCUAUGGUUUGACCUCAGAUCAGACAAGGAUACCCGCUGAACUUAA